rnacentral:rRNA from 1 species
GAUUAACGCUAGCGGCAGGUAUAAUACGUGCAAGUUGAACGGCAGCACAGGUAGCAAUACUGGGUGGCGAGUGGCGCACGGGUGCGUAACACGUAUGCAACCUACCCUAUACAGGCGAAUAACCUUUAGAAAUGAGGGCUAAUACGCCGUAGUAUUACAGAUGGGCAUCUAUUUGUAAUUAAAGAUUUAUCGGUAUAGGAUGGGCAUGCGUCCCAUUAGUUAGUUGGUAAGGUAACGGCUUACCAAGACGAUGAUGGGUAGGGGAUCUGAGAGGACUUACCCCCACACUGGUACUGAGACACGGACCAGACUCCUACGGGAGGCAGCAGUAAGGAAUAUUGGGCAAUGGCCGCGAGGCUGACCCAGCCAUGCCGCGUGCAGGAAGACGGCCUUAUGGGUUGUAAACUGCUUUUAUACGGGAAUAAUAGAGUGUACGCGUACAUUUAUGCAAGUAUCGUAUGAAUAAGCAUCGGCUAACUCCGUG